rnacentral:misc_RNA from 1 species
GAUGUAGAACGUAGCGAAAUGCGAUAAGUAAUGUGAAUUGCAGAAUUCAGUGAAUCAUCGAAUCUUUGAACGCACAUUGCGCCCGCCAGUAUUCUGGCGGGCAUGCCUGUUCGAGCGUCAUUACAACCCUCAGGCCCCCGGGCCUGGCGUUGGGGAUCGGCGGAGCCCCCCGUGGGCACACGCCGUCCCCCAAAUACAGUGGCGGUCCCGCCGCAGCUUCCAUCGCGUAGUAGCUAACACCUCGCGACUGGAGAGCGGCGCGGCCACGCCGUAAAACACCCAACUCUUCUGAAGUUGACCUCGAAUCAGGUAGGAAUACCCGCUGAACUUAAGCAUAUCAAUAAGCGGAGGA